ensembl:lncRNA
AUGGGGGCAGGGCGCAGCGCAGCCGCUCUAUGGGGGCGGCACUGCGGAGCUCAACGAGCCGCAAAGCGAACUAUGGGGCCGGCUUAUGGGGUGGGGGGGACCUAUAGGGUCUGGGUGCUCUAUGGGGUGUGGGUCCCCUAUGGGUGCUCUAUGGGGUGCCCUAUGGGGUGUGGGUGCUCUAUGGGGUGUGGGUGCCCUAUGGGUGCUCUAUGGGGUGCCCUAUGGGGUGUGGGUGCUCUAUGGGUGCUCUAUGGGUGCCCUAUGGGGUGUGGGUGCCCUAUGGGGUGUGGGUGCUCUAUGGGUGCUCNCCUAUGGGGUGUGGGUGCUCUAUGGGUGCUCUAUGGGUGCCCUAUGGGGUGUGGGUGCCCUAUGGGGUGUGGGUGCUCUAUGGGUGCUCUAUGGGGUGCUCUAUGGGGUCUGGGUGCCCUUUGGGUGCUCUGUGGGGUGAUGUGUGGGGUGUGGGUGCUCUAUGGGUGCCCUAUGGGGUGUGGGUGCUCUAUGGGGUCUGGGUGCUCUAUGGGGUCUGGGUACUCUAUGGGGUGUGGGUGCCCUAUGGGGUGUGGGUGCCCUAUGGGAUGCUCUAUGGGGUGUGGGUGCUCUAUGGGGUGCCCUAUGGGGUGUGGNUGCCCUAUGGGGUGUGGGUGCUCUAUGGGGUGCCUUAUAGGGUCUGGGUGCCCUAUAGGGUCUGGGUGCCCUAUGGGGUGUGGGUGCCCUAUGGAUUAUGGGUGCCCUAUGGGAUGCUCUAUGGGAUGCUCUAUGAGGUGUGGGUGCCCUAUGGGUGCCCUAUGGGUUGCCCUAUGGGCUCUGGGUGCUCUAUGGGUGCUCUAUGGGGUGAUGUGUGGGGUGGGGGUGCUCUAUGGGAUGCUCUAUGGGAUGUGGGUGCCCUAUGGGUGCUCUAUGGGGUGCCCUACGGGGUGUGGGUGCCCUAUGGGAUGUGGGUGCUCUAUGGGGUGUGGGUGCCCUAUGGGGUGUGGGUGCCCUAUGGGUGCUCUGUGGGGUGAUGUGUGGGAUGUGGGUGCUCUAUGGGGUGCCCUAUAGGGUGUGGGUGCUCUAUGGGCUGUGGGUGCUCUAUGGGCUGCCCUAUGGGGUGUGGGUGCUCUAUGGGUGCUCUAUGGGGUUCCCUAUGGGGUGUGGGUGCUCUGUGGGGUGCCCUAUGGGGUGUGAGUGCCCUAUGGGACGCCCUAUGGGGUGGGGGUGCCCUAUAGGGUGCCCUAUGGGAUAUGGGUACCCUAUGGGGAGCCCUAUGGGGUGCCCUAUGGGUUGCCCUAUGGGGAGUCCUAUAGGUGCCCUAUGGGAUAUGGGUGCUCUAUAGGUGCUCUAUGGGACGCUCUAUAGUAUAUGGGGUGCCCUAUAGGUGCCCUAUGCGAUAUGCGUGCCCUAUGGGUUGCCCUAUGGGGUGUCCUAUAGGUGCCCUAUGGGAUAUGGGUGCUCUAUGGGGUGCUCUAUGGUAUAUGGGGUGCCCUAUAGGGCGCCCUAUGGGUGCCCUAUGGUAUAUGGGUGCCCUAUAGGUGUCCUAUGGGAUAUGGGUGCUCUAUGGGGUGCUCUAUGGUAUAUGGGGUGCCCUAUAGGGUGCCCUAUGGGUGCCCUAUGGUAUAUGGGUGCCCUAUAGGUGCCCUAUGGUAUAUGGGGUGCCCUAUAGGGUGCCCUAUGGGUUCCCU